UAUUUGUAUAUUCUGUGUCAUUUGCUUUUCUGUAUUCUUUUACUUUAUGGGUAGUUGUCCCUUUAAGACAUUACUUUACGGCAGCAUUCCGACUGCAGUUGCUAGGGGAAUUCCCGGGCUUUAGAGUUCAGACCUGCUGCAGAGCAGAGACAUGCUAGUCUCAGCCUGGCUUCUGCAUAUCGCCUAACUUUUAUGCCCAUAUGAUGUUUCCCUGCUAGUGCAUUGUUGUGAGAGGAACGUUGGGCCUUCGUGUGCCUGCAGAGGAGGAAGGAGAGGCUGCUGAAUUUUCCGUGUUUGUGGACACCGGCUGCCAUCAUCAUUUUGGGUCCCUAUCCCAGUCAAGACAACCUUUUCAUUUGUAUGCACCAGACACACACGUACAAAUAUAGAGCUCUAUAUGAACUUUUUUUUUUUUGCUGGCCAGCUUCUUUUGGGGUUUUUUUCUCUCUACCAAGGACCCUGUUACAGUGAAUGUUGUUCACUCUAUGAUUUUAGUUGAGAUGAAGUUGGAUGUAUUUCAGUCCAGAAAUUUGUAAUAAACAAAACUGGUUGAUAGUAAACUGCUAUCUGAA